CUAGGUGGGUGGUUGAUUACCCCGGUGGCCCGUUGAGCAGGCGCGACGGGUCGGCGAUGCGCCGGUCGCCACCCGUCGUCCUCGUUCGUCGCGGGCUGGUACGGUGGCCGUGCCAUUCUGCGGCCGCCACCUUCCUCCGUGGUUCGCUCCACUCUCAUCUUUUCCUCACUCUCGCAGCGCGACCUGACUCCCGAAAUCUCGUCCCAUCAUUUUCUCUCUGAUUUUAACCCCCUUCCCCAUCUGAAGUUCUUUCUUUUAUGCGCGAAAUUCCUGGUUGCUACGGCGCGCAGUGAUGGCGUUAGCACUGACAUCUUCAGUCACGUGAGGAACAAUUUUGAACAUGUGUUCCGGAUUUAGUACUAUUUGAACUUUUCCCCUUAUGCUAGCUACAAACCAGAGGUCGUUGGACUCCCCAUUACACUGAGUCGCUCAACUAUAGCAGAAUUACAUAGUUCCCUUCACUUGCGCAGGGAAAUUAAACUAAAUCCAAGCUACACGCGCCGUAUAUAUUAGGGCCUUAUGGACUGCCUGUGAUUCCGUAGGCUGAGCAAAGGGCAUCUGUGAAACCUGCCAGCUUACUGGAUCAGUGCGGAGGGAGCUUCCCUUCAAGGAAUGAUGAGAAUAGUGCCAAUGCCCUGCGAGGCUGGUAGUAUGGGACCAUGUGCCCGGCUCCUUUGACUGUUGCGAAGACCAAUCCUUUAUACCCAACAACGUAGCCAGCAACCUGCCGUGUAGCGAAGGAUUAGGAGAAGGAUGUUAUUUUUUCGCAGCUAUGCUUGAUGAAACAAUGCAUUUAUGAUGUUUCGGCAUGUACACUCUUUUUGGGCAACUGUUCUUCAACUAUAACUGUUUUAUGUUCAAACGUAUUUCCGUUUUGAUGUUUUGUUAAGAGUUUAGGAACUUGGUUAUCGAAUUGCGUUGGGGACUAGUGAUCAUUGCAAGUUCUGACAAGCAACAUGACGGAUCCUUUUGUUUUUGAUUUUUGCAGGAAGCACAUAUACAGUUUGAUCCAAAGGAAUCCUGCGACAUGAAUGCUGGUAUUCAAUCAUAAUCAUCUGAUGAACAUUGGGCUACGUACCUCAUUAUCGAGGCGCCAUGGACGCCAAGAUGUUUCAAUAGGAAGCUCAAGAAUGUCCAGCACAUAUUGUGUGGAAAUGAAUGAACACACUGCAUCCAUAUCACCACUGGUACACAGAGGUAGAGUCUAAAUCACAGUUUUAUGAUGUAACAUAUUAGGCUAUGUAUUUUGUCACACAUGAAGCUGAACAUGUGUACCUGUAUAGCCAUAUUCUAAUGCCACUUGAAAUGACUUUCUUGAUUGAUGGCAGCAUUGUCUCUGGUGAAUCUUUCCAAUUAUCAAAUACAUGCUGGCUGCUUGAAUAAACAUAUAAAUUAAUCAUAAGCAUGUCGUACUGUUAACUUCUCCUUGAUGCCCAAUUGCUAAUCUAGCAAGAGGUUUCUUGAAACUGAACAAAAAUCUCAAGAUAUACCUGAAUGAGUAUGCACUGGGGCAUAUGCACACCAUUUACACGAUUGAUGAUGAAUUGAAAUACAUGCAUUUCGGUGCAUACUCAAUGGUGUCGGUAUGCAGUGCAUGUGGCCCUAGACCCACCUUUGCUUUUCCCAAGACUAAAUGGGUUAAAUAUCUUUAUGAUUUCAAAUAGCUGAUUGUUGAACUGGCUGAACAUAGGCUUCAGAAUCAUCUGGCAUUAUUCCCCUUUUAAUUUAGAUUUAUCAAGACCUUUUUGCAUAUAAAAGUUUAUGCUAAAGGAAUAAUUUUUGUCAACAGUGGUUCACAUACUCUUUGAUGGUUGGCUCGUAGAGGCUGUUGUUACCUUUUAACAUUAAUGCUAUUAAGAAGUGAGUGAUGAAAGAUAUAUAAUUAUUCUGUUCCUUUGGGUUAUAUAAGUAUUGUUUGUACAUAAAGGAUAUACCUUUCCAGAUUGCUUUAGCAAAGCCAAUAACAGAUUGCUAAUAGGGUCACACAAGGGUUAUGGUCUGAGAACGCUCAUAAAUUGGAGGCAAAUAUGGUAAACAUAUUCAGACAUUCAAUCCACAUACCUGCAAUCCAUCCAUGGGUAGUCUAACCCUGUUGUGUUUGCAUGGAGUGCCUUUUGGACCUCAGGACGAUUUAGGUAAGAGGAGACAUAGUGGUUUGUGCAUGGAUCACCAAACACUAACUGAAACUAAACCAAAGUUUCAGAUCCCAAAGAUCAUAUAGAAAGGGAAUAAAAAAAGCAUAUGUGAAACUUAUGUUUGGUGCUGCAUACCGAGUCACUUGAUUUUGAAGAAUUUGAGGCAUCAUGGCAUGUUGGUGCAUAAAUGUCAUAGUCAUCAACAUUUCCUUUUUCCUGGGUAGCUAAUUUCAUGGCAUUUUGGCAAUCUUUAGUGUAUGUCCCAUUAAAGCCACAUUUAUCCUUGAUGGCUCUAUAAGCUUUUCUAGAAAUCAUAGCAUGCAUCCAAUAGUAGUCAAAUGAUGCUUGUAGAGUCAAAUUGUCAUCCAAGUCUGCAUUUCCAAUCUGAUCAAGUUUUACAGUGUUACCAUUGGUUAGAAAUUUACCGAUCUUAUAAGCUACAGAAGCAGUUAUAGAGGAAAACUUACCGCAACACCUUUAAGCUUGAUAUUAGUUGCAUUGUUGGCUCUAUUCUUAGAAACAAUCAGAUUAGCAAGCUCUGGUAUAUAGUGACCUGCAUAGCUCUCACCAGUUAUGAAGAAAUCACGAUCCUGAUACUCAGGAAAUUUCUCUAACCAAUUUUCAAGAAAGGUAUAAGCAUCAUCCGUUGUUCUUUGGUCGCCAAUGUUAUAAUAAUCUGAGGUAGUGUUUGAAUAUGAGUACCCAACACCAGCUGGGAUCUCAACAAACAGCAUAUUGGCCACUGCAUUUAUGGACACAUGGGUGUUAAUCCAACUAACUUAUUUAACUAUUAAUCUAGUGAAGGUUUAAAGUGAUUUACCUCUGUUCCAUGCAUGUCUUUUCCUAUACAGUGUCUUGUUGUCACUACGGACGGAGAAAGGACCAAGUUCAAGCAUGGCUCCAGAUCCAAAGGAUGAACAGCCGGGCCCUG
rnacentral:lncRNA from 1 species